rnacentral:lncRNA from 1 species
CAACCCUAAGACAUAAUUAGCAAACUAAUAAAGCAUUAGUGAGUAAAACUCACUUGACAAAAGCGGAGAUCGAAUCACCGCAACGGCGACACAACGGCGGCCGAAAUCGGACUUUCGACGACACCGGCGGACUUGUACCGGGCCUUAAGCUUAGGCCCAACAAAUCUCAGCCCAAUUGAGAUUUGUUCUUGCACUGGAAUGGGCUGGACCUGCUGAAUUUCUGGACUGAACUAACUGCGCUAGCUGAACUGGGCUUGCUGGUCUUGUGCUGAAUUCGGUGGCCCAAAGGACUGAAGAUCACAUGGGCUGCUGAGCUGGGCCUGGCGAGAGAAAGACGUGGGCCUAUCUUCGGUCUUCGUGGCUUCAAAUCAAGACUCCGUGGGCUUCGCUGGGCCAACGAACAGGCAGAAGAAGCAGCUUCGGCGUCCUGAUUCGUGGAGAUGGGCAAGCUAAAGGAAUCCGCACGGCUGAAGACUGAGCAGACGUGAGAGAUGUGCUGGCCGAGAGAAGCAAGGAGGGUUGCGUGGCGUCUGCUGGCUUUGGUCUUCAGUUGCUCCGUGGGAUUUCGGGGCUGCUUCAGUCAACAGAAGAGAAGAAGCUGCUGGUUCCGUUGACUCCGUUGAAGACAAGCCGAAGUAGAGAAUUCUUCGUGGGACUGCUGGUCGUGUGGUAUUCGGUCAGUUGACCGGUUGAUGCUGCCUUCGGUGAACUGAUUUGAAGGCACGAAGGAAGACCGAAGAUGAGGGGUCUUCUCUAGGGUCUUCAAGUCGCUGAAGUCCUCGGACGUGCGGCUUCUUCGGUGGAAGGAGAUGUUGACCAGCAAAUUGAAGACACGAAGAAGCUUGUAGUCUUCGGUUGGACGCGUGGGUGCAGGAGGCAGUGGUGGCUUCGUUCGGCGCUGCUUCACUGGCUUUGGACCGAAGUUGAAGACGCGGACGUGCGGAGCAGCUUCGGUAAGUCUUCAACGCUGCUGGAGGAGACACGAAGUAGUGGAGCUGCACGCGGUCAACAAUCUUGCUGAGACUGACCAAAAUUUCGGUGGAUUGGUCUUCGGUUCAGCUGGCGGACGAAGGAAAAUUUUCGAAGGAAGCAGCUGGGUCUUCUUCAGUUGCUGCUGGAGG